ACGUUCAAACGCGUAUAGCACUUCAUAUUCAAGUGUUUUUCUCAUAACUAAUAUGAACUCAAUACAUUCAAUUCAACAGUUUUGGCAUGUACACAGCAUUCAAUACAUGGGAUCUUGAGUGUCGUAUGCAACAAUCACCACUUCUAAAUGCUCUGAUAGUUAGAAAUAAAUUAAAAUUGAUAACAUUAGAAUCUAUAUGUUGCACACAUUUUCCUCAAAUAGACCGCACGUUCCAAUCAAAUGCACACGUGUAUUCAAUUUUAAAUACACUUGACACUUGGAGUUUGAAUACUUUUGUUUUUAAAUUCAUGUGCCAUGCACUUUGUUUUUAUGGAUCAUGGUGCUAUAAUUCAAAAAGCACCCUGUGAUUAAUGGAAUCAAAAUGGCUGAAAACAAAGCACCACAGUCUCUUGCAUUUGAAAAGUUUGAAUCAUACGGUUUUCCGGAAUAUAUUUGCAGAAUUCUUUUGGAUCGAAACAUUAUCCCAGAUGAUGGAACGUAGAUUCGCCACAUUUUAGCCAAUUCGCAGUUAGCGCAAUUGAUAUCAAACGAGACAGAAAAUUCAACCACGAUUAUACUCGAGAAAGACAAAUUUCCGUCGUUCGAAGCACCGGAACCUGGUUCGUCACCUGCGAAAGCAACAUAAUCAGCUGCUCGUUCAUCAAAAACCGUUCCCAUAGAUUUUGAACUUGAGAGUACAGAAGAUUUUGUUUUGGAUGAUGUACCAACUACUUCCGGAUUGUCUUCGCAUUCGUUUCCCGAAGUAUGUAUCUUAACUGCAAUGAAGAUUAUUAUUCGUACAUUGUACGAAUUCAAAUAUCAUGUUUGUUUUGCGACCGCUCAAAAAGUCGUUAUUGUUAUAUAUUUUGUGUUUACCAAAAAGAGACGGACUGUGGCAAAAACAACUUGUAGAACUGAUACCUACGAUUUCAGUACAUGCAUUAAGAAGAAGUAUUUUGGGACAAGUAUUAUUAAAACUUGGAAAGCAAGGUGCACCCUUAUCCGAAGCUCGUAAAUUAGAACUUGCUGGAAUUGUUGCUGAAUGACACCUAGUCAAUCGCUCGAAAACAACCGAGAAUGAUCUUCAGUCUGAAUUCUUAUUAUUUUCCCAGAGGAGGAGAGAAGAGAAACCCUGGUGGGAAAAUCUAUAAAAUCUAUAAAAAAAAGUGGUCCAUUAAGUAAAAUGAUGUGUUUUCGUUUCGAAGCAAAACACAAACAGAUCAAACAAUACGCCCACAUGACUUCAUCUCGAAAAAAUAUUUGUUACACAAUAGCAGUUAAAGCCUCGAUACAGUUUAGUUUCGAUCUAUGUGAUAAUAUUUUUUUCAAAAAUACUGUCACUAAUAAUUUUACAGCAAUUGACUUGAAAGCAAUUUACUAUUAUCAGAAAUUGACGGUCCACCUGUAACAGUACAUUAUUGAAAGGAUACAUUAUAUUUUAAAAAGAGAUGAUUUUAUGUUUCAAGAAAAUGAUUUGUG